GGCCGCGGUAUUUUGACUGUGCGAAGGUAGCGUAAUCAUUAGUCUUUUAAUUGAAGGCUGGUAUGAAUGGUUAGACGAGGUGAAAGCUGUUUUAUAGUAAAUGAAAUAUUGAAGUUGGAAUUUAAGUAAAAAAACUUAAGUAAUAUUAAGGGACGAGAAGACCCUAUAGAGUUUUAUAAAUAUAAGUUAUAGUAAGGUUAAUUAAAAAUGGUAUUUAUUAUAAUUUAUAUUUAUUUGAUUGGGGCGAUUAGAAGAUAAAUAAAACUCUUUUUUGUAUUUUAUACUUGUUAGUAAAUUUAAGAUCCAUUAAAAUUAAUAAUGAUUGGAAGAUAAAAUUACCUUAGGGAUAACAGCAUAA
rnacentral:rRNA from 1 species